rnacentral:rRNA from 1 species
CAGUCGCCACGGUAAUACGUAGGGUGCAAGCGUUAAUCGGAAUUACUGGGCGUAAAGCGUGCGCAGGCGGUUUGUUAAGACAGAUGUGAAAUCCCCGGGCUCAACCUGGGAACUGCAUUUGUGACUGGCAAGCUAGAGUGUGGCAGAGGGGGGUGGAAUUCCGCGUGUAGCAGUGAAAUGCGUAGAUAUGCGGAGGAACACCGAUGGCGAAGGCAGCCCCCUGGGCCAACACUGACGCUCAUGCACGAAAGCGUGGGGAGCAAACAGGAUUAGAUACCCCCGUAGUCCCUGUCUCUUAUAA